UACCAUACCAUACUGUACAUUAAUUAAGCACGGGAAACAACCAUCAAACAGAGGGUAAGUCCCUAAAUCAGUAGCUAUUUCAUCUUCAACCAAACAAGAAUCUAACCAAAACCAAACGACCCCUUCUUCUUCAACCAAAAGAAAAUCUUAACCAAAAUCAGCAUCACCGCCGGUUCCACCGAAGGACCAGCGAAUAAAAGCCAAUUUCGGCAUCGCUGACACCAUCUCCCAUCAACCCCAGUCCCUUUUCAAGCAACAGAGCUUCGAACAACUCAUCCAAGUCUAAUCAGCCUCCCAAAUCGAGAAGCACGCAAGGAUCUUUGGGUUUCUAGGCCGAUCUUCCAACAAUCCAUAGGGUAAAGGCUCGUUUCAGUCCGUUGGAGCCUAAAACCAUGAAGAAUCCACUAAAUUCGGAGUCCCAACGAAUUUGUAGCUUUCAAAUACAUCUGAAAAGCAAGGAUUGCUUUAAGGGGAUUCGGAGACUUGACGACGACACUAGCCUCAGUUCGCUGUCCUGGAAAAGUCUUGGGAGAUUGUUUCGCCAUGUCCUACACUAAGAAAAAAUCACUAUAAAAAGAGGUCAGUAAUAAUGAUGAUUAUAUAUGUCCUAGAUUAGGUGUCUCUAUGUCUACAUUAAGUGACUCAUUUCUUCAAAGAUAGUGUCUAUGUUUAAACUAUGGUUUUCCUACAUCUGGUUCUAAAAUUCGACCUCAAUUCAUGUAUGUUUAAUUUGAGUCUAGUUUAAUUCUACUUGUUGAGAUUGCACUUUCUUCUUUAAACCUCCGCAGUGUUUCCCCUUUCUCUCUUCAUUUUAUACAUAUCCAACUAUGUGGAAGCUUAAAGGAUUUUUUUUUUUUGUUACUGUUCUGCAUUAGCUGCACAGUGUGUCGAGUCAAGUCAGUGCAUGACCCGUAUCCGGCUUUAGUUGGUAAAAAUGAAGACGUAGCCAUGUCAAGUUGUUCUUGUUAUUCGUUUAAAUUUCUGUUUUAAGUACGUACCAGAAUUUGUAUGCUUAAUAUCUCCUCAUAAAAAAUCAUGUUCAUUGGGACUGCAUUUUGUCUAAUUUAAUGUAGUGAAUGUAUUGUUGUUUGGAAAAGAAAAAAAGAAGACUAAUAGGUACUAGUUAAUUUUUUUUUUUUCCACUGAUUUCAUUUUCUUCAAACCUGUUUCAUCUUAAUCUUUUCUGAAGAACUAGUUAUGCUUGCCUGAAAGAGUAUCGCGAUUUCGUUAUGGAUUAAACUUGUUGGUUGCUGAUAAGGUUGAUUCGCUGUUUCUAGUCCUCAUCUGAUUCUGCCAAGUAGAAUAAUUGGAACCUAUUUGAGUAAUUAAGUAGUAUGGUUGUAGUUUCCAGUUAUUUGGAUAUUAAUCUAGUGAACAUGCAUGUCCGCACAUAAGUUAAGUAAUUGCUUUGUUUUGCCUGUUUGGGAACUGUCUAUUAAUGUGUUUACUUGAAAAGAACUAGAAAUCAUGACAGUGAAUUAUAUUGUUUUCUUAUAUCAUGAAUGAAAUAUUAAGUUAACAUAGUCCCUCUGUGAUAUCUCUAGUUAACACCUCUCAGGAGAAUUAAUUUUAGGAAUUGGAGAAUUCUUAAGUUUGUCUCUUAAAAAAAUAAAAAAAAGUAAUAAAAAAAAACUCUGCAAACUCCUACCUUUUUGUUUAAUGGAAUAUUACCUAAAACUUGUGUUUCGUCCCAGAAAUUUUAGCCUUUAUAAAGAAGUGGUAUAUCUAUUUCAUAAUAAUAUGAACUACAAUUUUAUUCGUAUUGACAUCUCUUCUCGGUUGGGGCUGUUGUAUAACACCUGAAGGAAAUCAAUUUCCAUACCUGUUUUGAGACUAGAUUCUAUUGGUAAUUUGGAUUUCUUUAUGGAUUAUUAUGGCCAAGUUUCCUAAAACUAUUAAGAGUAUACUUGUAGUUUGAUUACUUGUGCACCCCGUUUCUUUUAAAAAGGAUAUGAGUUGAUUGGAGUGUUUUACUUCGCUCUUAGAAUACUUAAGAAAACUGAAUUUGUUUUUUUUUUUUUUUUUUUUUACUUUGAUGGCUUGACCUUUUGAAUUCAAGAAUACUGGGAAUUGAAAUAAAACCCAGGAGCAACUGGCUGUUGCGUCCAAGUUUCUUGUGUUAAAUAUGACCUUAGCUUGACUUCCUAUUUGAAAUUUGAAUAAGUAGUAUGUUACCCGUCUCCGAAGUACUUUUUUUUGGGAAUAUGAGAGUAAUGUUUUGGAACUUAAAUAAACCUUAAUUUAUCCAAAGGUUUUACUGCACUCCUAGUUGGAAAGUUUAACAGAAGCAUUCGAAUGUUGAGUAAUAAUUGGGGCUACAUUGACCUUCUCUUAAAAUGUGUUGUCUUGUUUUUUUUUGGGAACCUGAGUGGGGGACCUUGCCUAUGUACUUAUGUUAUCUAGUUUUCUAUUGGUUAAAGUUAUAUCAACUUCUUCUUAUUAAAAACUUCUCCUAAUCCUUUUCUCUUCUUUCUUUUGCAUGAACACAUUUGGGAGAAUAUUGGAGUUAUGGUAACUCCAAGUUCAGCCCGGAGUUAGGAGUAAACAUUCAAAGCGGUUUCAUUCAAGUUAGCGAUCCUACCUCGUCCACGUCUCGAGUCUCCGUCCUUCUUCCUCUUUUAAAAUUUCACGCCUUCGUGUUGGUUUAUAUAUGCUGUUUAUAUUAUUUGGCUAACACCCUUAUGAAUUUGUUUUUUUUUUUUUUUUGUAGUUUUGUUGUGAACUCGUAACUUGACUUAAGUAUGUUAGUAAGUUUAGUCAU